GUAAAUAAUUAAGGGCGUAUGGUGGAUGCCUAGGCUCUCAGAGGCGAUGAAGGACGUGAUAAGCUGCGAAAAGCUCCGUUUAGGUGCAAAUAACCUUUGAUGCGGAGAUCUCCGAAUGGGAUAACCCAAUAUGUUGAAGACAUAUUAUACCGUAAGGUAGGCAAACGCAGGGAACUGAAACAUCUAAGUACCUGCAGGAGAAGAAAACAAACGUGAUUCCCCCAGUAGCGGCGAGCGACCGGGGAAAAGCCCAAACCGUUAUUGUUUCGGCAUUAACGGGGUAGUAGGACUGCAAGCUUGAUGAAAUAAAUGAAAUGGAACACCUUGGAAAAUGUGAUCACAGAGGGUGAUAAUCCCGUACAUGCAAGUUUAUGAAUCAUAGCAGACUCCUGAGUAAGUCGGGACACGUGUAAUCCUGACCGAAUCCGCCGGGACCAUCCGGCAAGGCUAAAUACUCCUGAGAGACCGAUAGUGAACCAGUACCGUGAGGGAAAGGUGAAAAGCACUUCGAACAGAAGAGUGAAAUAGUCCCUGAACCCAUACGCCUACAAGCUGUCGGAGCCGCUUCGUGCGGUGACGGCGUGCCUUUUGCAUAAUGAGCCUACGAGUUACUCAUCACCAGCGAGGUUAAGUACUUCAGGUACGUAAGCCGAAGCGAAAGCGAGUCUGAAUAGGGCGUCAAGUUGGUGGUGGUAGACGCGAAACCUUAGUGAUCUACCCAUGGGCAGGGUGAAGGUUUGGUAACACAAACUGGAGGCCCGAACCGGUAAACGUUGAAAAGUUUUCGGAUGACCUGUGGGUAGGGGUGAAAGGCCAAUCAAACUGGGAAAUAGCUCGUACUCUCCGAAAUGCAUUUAGGUGCAGCCUCUGUUGUUUUGUUCUAGAGGUAGAGCUACUGAUUGGAUGCGAGGGCUUCACCGCCUAUCAAAUCCGGCCAAACUCCGAAUGCUAGAACAUGAAGACAGGGAGUGAGCCAGCGGGUGCUAAGGUCCGUUGACGAAAGAGGGAGAACUCAGACCAUCAGCUAAGGUCCCCAAUUGUAUGCUAAGUUGGAAUUAAAACGGGGUGGGACUGCUUAGACAGCUAGGAUGUUGGCUUGGAAGCAGCCAUUCAUUUAAAGAGUGCGUAACAGCUCACUAGUCGAGCGGUCCUGCAUGGAUAAUACGCGGGCAUAAGCAUAUAACCGAAGCUAUGGGAUUGUAGAUGAUACAAUCGGUAGGAGAGCAUUCCAUUCAGCGUAGAAGCAGUAUCGUGAGGUAUUGUGGAGCGGAUGGAAAAGCAAAUGUAGGCAUAAGUAACGAUAAUGCGGGUGAGAACCCCGCACGCCGAAAGAUCAAGGAUUCCCCGGCAAUGUCAAUCAUCCGGGGGUAAGUCGGAUCCUAAGGGUAAGCCGAGUGGCGAUCCCGAUGGCAAACAGGUUAAUAUUCCUGUACUGAUCAUAACUGCGAUGCAGCGACGCAGAGGUGACACUGCUGCGUACUGACGGAAUAGUACGUUGAAACCCGUAUUCUUUGAUACCGGUAGUGAAGCACGCCGGUAGAGAUGAAAGGUGAUAGUACCGCAAUGCUUCGGUUGCGCGGAUAACGCAGGUAAGCUGACUGCCAAGAAAACCUGCUAAGCUUCAGGUAAUGAUCAUCCGUACUGUAAACGGACACACGUGAUCAGGUAGAAAAUACUAAGGCGCUCGAGAGAUUCAUGGUUAAGGAACUAGGCAAAAUGGUCCUGUAACUUCGGGAUAAAGGACGCUCUUGUGAAAGAGCCGCAGAUAAUAGGCCCAGGCGACUGUUUACCAAAAACACAUGGCUAUGCUAAUUCGCAAGAAGAUGUAUAUGGCCUGACACCUGCCCGGUGCCGGAAGGUUAAGAGGAGAGCUCAGAGGCAACUCGAAGGUUUGAAUUGAAGCCCCGGUAAACGGCGGCCGUAACUAUAACGGUCCUAAGGUAGCGAAAUUCCUUGUCGGGUAAGUUCCGACCU
rnacentral:rRNA from 1 species